GAGGAAGAUUCUGUGUCAUCUAUUAGGGAGGAAGAUGCUCUAUAAUCUGAGGUUAGAUGAGGAAGAUGCUCUAUAAUCUGGAUGAGGGAUGAGGAAGAUGCUG